rnacentral:rRNA from 1 species
AUUUAAGGCUUGCAAGCCUAAAAUUCGUAUAGUGGGACUUAUAAAAAACUACUGUUAAAAUUAACUGUACUCCACUGUUCAAAUCAACAAUUUUGUACUGUUAAAACGGGGCCAAGUAAAAAAACAGUGUUUUAACGGAUUUGAACGGUGGAGUAUAGUUAAUUUCAGCAGUAUUUUUUUGUAAGUCCAGCGGUACAAAUUUUAGGUUUACAAACCCAAUGGUACGAAUUUUAGGUAUACAAGCCUUACGGAUUUCUCUGAUAUACGAGUAACCACUUUUUAAUACCAAUUUAGUCCACUCCAGCGCUUGCUAUGUUUAAUGCUGAGAUGCUCCCAGGAGGCGUGUCUUAGCUUGGUCGAGUAGAAGGAAGAUCGUCGACGCGCGUGUCGGAGGAGCGGGGCAGGGGUUGGCCGCUUCGGUAGACGUCUUGGGGUCUCUUGAAGACCUUCGUUCGGAGUCGGGGGGAACUAAUAAGGGAGCUUUGGGAUCUAGGGGUUUGGGUGCGCCGGUGGAGGAGUACCUAGUAGGUACCGCGAAGCGUCGACCGCGGCCGUUGCUGGAGACGGGGCAGACGUGGCGCGGGGUGAAGGGGAAAACGGGCGGAGGCGGAGAGGGCGGGGUGGGGAAAGGGAUGCUAGAGGUGGGUGGCGGGGGAGGAGGGGGCGGGGUCAUGGUACGGGGGAAGGUGGGCGGCGGCGGCGGUGGCGGCUACACCCGAGGAGGCCCCGGCGUGGGCAUGCUAGAGGAGCUGUGCCUUCCAGGGGUGUUCUCCUACGCGCACCCCCUCCGCGGAGGCAAGAGGCCGGGCGGGGGAGGGAUGGGCGGUUACAACCCGUCCCGAAGGCACCUCCCUCUCGCCGACGAGCCCGACUAGGCCCUCGUACCGGUACCGGCGCGAGUCGACGGCGGACGUGUCACCGUACCGCUUGGCAUAGGUGGGCUACCAAAGCCGGUACCUCCUCUACCCCGAAUAGGAGGAGUAGUUUUAAUAUUAUUGGGGAUACGCGUCCCUCCGUUAAAGUGACUAAUGCUAGAGCAGUCUUCCUACGGUGGAGGCGGCUACGGCAAACUAUCCAUAUCACGGAAUCUAAGACAACCUCCUAGAGUCCUCUUCAUAAAGCUGGUGGUAGUGGUAGUAGUCAAAGUGGGACUUCGUAACGGCCCACGAGGUGGUGAUGGUGUUGUACGACUCCGUCCUUUGGUAAUACUAAGGGCGCUAACCGCAGUAGUACGCCCACAACACGGCGGUGGUGGUCUAGGAGGUUACGGAAGAUGGGGUCUAAUGGUACGUUACGGUGGAGACGUCCGUCGUUUGAGCAGCAACAAAGGACAGGAGAGGUCAAGGGGCCGAUGAUGUAGUGAAGGUGGGUCACUAUUAUGGAACGUAGUAAGGGUGGACUACGGUUUGCGUUUAAUAAUGUUACCUGGGUUGUUUUUACUCCCCCAUCUAAAGCAUGUAGCCGUUGUUAGCCUCGUCGUAGACCUCCUAUCUUACGGUUGUGUCCUGUUUGUAAGAAAAUUGUUACACCUUCAGUUAUAACAAUUACGUACGCUGAACAAGUUCGUCGGGGAAGCGCGAAGUGCGGGACUAGUAUAACAAUAGUAGGACGCUCCCGAAGGUCCAUCACCUUUCUCGAUGGAACGCUUCCGUAACGCACUAGAACUUCAACUCUCACCACCUUCACGUGGGUCUUAAGUGAGCUACCUACUGAUAAAGUACUAACUCCAACUCUUCUUCCAGCUUCUGUUGCUUCCCAGAUUUAGAAGAUGACGUAGGUUUCCUGCCUUUGUCAACUGGUUCUUUCACUAACUUAUAACAAUACUCGGACUUUACCUCCUCUGGAUGUCUAGUUCGUACAAUUUGCGCAAAUUCUUCUGGGAACUACUUCCCUUAAAGUGUAAACACUAACACCUACUGGCGUUAGACGCCCAUCGACUAAAACGAGUUAAAACCCGUUCGCGCUUCUCUAGACCGAUACUCCAGAUGAACGAGCUCCGUGGUAUGUUCCUAGGUUGUCCGACACGACGAUCCUUACACGUACCCAAAUGUAACCUACUAUAGUUUUUCUACCGUCGACUGACCCUCCUCCGAGGUGGUGAUAUACACGCUGAUCUAUGGGUAAGAAAUAAGGUACCACUGUUAGAAGUACUCGUAAGAUAUGUUCUCCAACUAUACCUGUGUCUCCUAUGACUACUACGACUACUAUGCCGUCAAUUGUGGGUCAGACCUUCGAGUUUCUUCCGAUAUGGACUUAGUCGUCUACUACAUGGACUAGUUCCCCUGUUCACCCUAAGUAGUCUACUUCUUCUGAAUCUACUGUAAUUUCUCGAUCCUGUCUCGUUUACCAGUUUUCUAAAACUACUCCUAUGACUGUCCAGGUUCGUACGUCUACCUUCAUGUGUAUGAGAAAGACCCGACCGGUUCUGUAUACCGUGAGUAGUUUUUUGUGAAUGAACCCCACUAGCCGAACUUUUCCCACCUAAAAGAUAGCCACGUCGGUUUUCCUCUGGGUGAAGUAGAAAUUAGUAUCCUGGACCUAGUCCCAUGUUAAACCAGAGGUUGGGGAACCGACUUCUAUUAAGGUGUCCGCACUUCCUAUUUCAUUUGUUACUUUGUUUUUCUGCCAAGUCACUCGUUGAAGCACUACUUCCAGUUAGGAAGUCCCGUCAAAAACUGGUCUCUUUUGUCGCGUAACCCCAAAAGCUGUUGCCCUUUUUACUCAUUAGGCACUGACUCUUCGGACCUACCGUUGGACGUCAACAUACCCGGAGACCCAUGAGUUUGCAACGGGUCCCAGUUCGUCUCGUGUCCGUCGAGCCUCAGGACAACGAGGUAACGGUAACCGUAUAACGUCAAGAUUCUAAACGGCCCGUGUAUAUCCGAAGAGCAAUGACGGACGAUAGUCAGGGGUGUUCCGCGUUAACUUCCUUCGUAGUGAAAGACGAACACGAUAAACAGAAAACCGGGUGUACUUCUUCACCACUCUUCAACCAAGGGAACUAAACAACGUCCGAACAUCGACGUUUGAGUGAUACUAGGAGAACCGUUACGCUUUAGGAAAAAAACCCUGAUCGGUAAAGUUCUCGUUGGGGUGUUCUACAUACAUAACACUUGUGACUUAUUACUGUAUCAGGAACUUGUUCCAUACCUCGUGUAUUACUGACCCUCCCUUAGCCUGUAGUCACCCACACAAGAAUUGUACUCUACCUUUGCAAAUUUAUAACUUACUUUGUUGGAGUCAAAAA